rnacentral:rRNA from 1 species
UACGUAGGGACCAAGCGUUGUUCGGAUUUACUGGGCGUAAAGGGCGCGUAGGCGGCUUAACAAGUCACUUGUGAAAUCUCCGGGCUUAACUCGGAACGGCCAAGUGAAACUGUUAUGCUAGAGUGCAGAAGGGGCAAUCGGAAUUCUUGGUGUAGCGGUGAAAUGCGUAGAUAUCAAGAGGAACACCUGAGGUGAAGACGGGUUGCUGGGCUGACACUGACGCUGAGGCGCGAAAGCUAGGGGAGCGAACGGG